GGUUGUGGCUCAGUGGUAGAGCACUUGCCUCACAUGCAUGAGGCACUGGGUUCAAUUCUCAGCACCA
rnacentral:tRNA from 1 species